rnacentral:snoRNA from 1 species
AUGACGAGACCAGGCUGGGUGAGCAGUGAGCGAGGUUAAUAGCGCUGA